rnacentral:lncRNA from 1 species
UCGUCUCUCUCUCUCUAUUCGUCUCUCCCUGUCGGCGCCCUCUCUCCCUCUCUCCGUCUCUCCCUCACUAUCCGUCUCUCCCCGUCGGUGCCUUCUCUCCCUCACUAUCCGUCUCUCCCCGUCGGUGCCCUCUCUCCCUCUCUAUCCAUCUCUCCCCGUCGGCGCCUUCUCUCCCUCUCUCCGUCUCUCCCUCUCUAUCCCUAAUUGCUUCCCUCUCUGCCUCUCUAUCCCUAAUUGCUUCCCUCUCUCCCUCUAUCCGUCGACGCCUCUCUCCCCUCUCUAUCCCUAAGAUCUUUUAGUUGGAUCAAUUGUGUGGGAAUUCAAUUUGGCUUUAAUUCUCAGUACAAAUCAACCGAUCAUUUUGCUCUCUGUCGCUCUACAUACUCCGAUUG